rnacentral:rRNA from 1 species
UUUAUGCGAUACUUGGUGUGAAUUGCAGAAUUCAGUGAAUCAUCGAAUCUUUGAACGCACCUUGCGCCCUUUGGUAUUCCGAAGGGCAUGCCUGUUUGAGUGUCAUGUUAAUCUCAAACCCCUUGUCUUUGUUGACUCGGUUUGGUUUGGACUUGGAGGUGUUGCUGGCACAUGGGUUCUUGCCUUGUCGGCUCCUCUUAAAUGUAUUAGCUGGGCUUUGGUUCGCAUUAACGGUGUAAUAGUAAAGUGUUCGCCGGGUGCUUGCCUAACGAGUCUGCUUCUAAUUGUCUUCGGACAAGGUCGACUCUGACCUUUUCUCUUGACCUUUGACCUCAAAUCAGGUAGGAUUACCCGCUGAACUUAAGCAUAUCAAUAAGCGGAGGAA